CCUACGGGAGGCAGCAGUGGGGAAUAUUGGGCAAUGGGCGCAAGCCUGACCCAGCAACGCCGCGUGAAGGAAGAAGGCUUUCGGGUUGUAAACUUCUUUUAUCAGGGACGAAGCAAGUGACGGUACCUGAUGAAUAAGCCACGGCUAACUACGUGCCAGCAGCCGCGGUAAUACGUAGGUGGCAAGCGUUAUCCGGAUUUACUGGGUGUAAAGGGCGUGUAGGCGGGAGUGCAAGUCAGAUGUGAAAACUAUGGGCUCAACCCAUAGCCUGCAUUUGAAACUGUACUUCUUGAGUGCUGGAGAGGCAAUCGGAAUUCCGUGUGUAGCGGUGAAAUGCGUAGAUAUUAGGAGGAACACCAGUGGCGAAGGCGGUCUGCUGGACAGCAACUGACGCUGAGGCGCGAAAGCGUGGGGAGCAAACAGGAUUAGAUACCCCAGUAGUC
rnacentral:rRNA from 1 species